rnacentral:misc_RNA from 1 species
CCUCUGCAUCUUCAUAUUCAUCAUCAAGCUCGUCAUCAUCAUCAUCCUCUUCCUCUUCGUCGUCGUCGUCGUCGUCCUCCUCUUCUUCUUCUAGCUUCAGCUCACCCUUUUUCUUCUUUCUAUCCAAUCCAUAUUCCCUUGCCUCAUCCUCCUCCAAAUACUCUUCCAAUUCCUUUAUCUUCAAAAACUUAUCCUCUAUUCCUUCUCCACCUUUCCCCUCCCCCAUUUCACCACUCUCAUCUUCAUUCUCUCCCUUCUCACUCUCUCUUCUUCCACCUUCCUCUUCCUCUUCCUCAUCAUCAAAUUCAUCCAUAUCCAUAUCCAUGUCAUCGUCAUCAACAUCAUCAUCAAAGCGUUUGGUUUCCUUCUCUUCUAGAAUCUUCCUUUCCCCAUCAAGGAACUCAUUCUCCUUCUUCAAGACUAUCUUGCUCUCCUCGGGAUGCUUCUCCAAGUGCUUGACUUGUCGACGG